rnacentral:rRNA from 1 species
CCUACGGGAGGCAGCAGUGAGGAAUAUUGGUCAAUGGCCGGGAGGCUGAACCAGCCAAGUCGCGUGAGGGAAGACGGCCCUACGGGUUGUAAACCUCUUUUGUCAGGGAGCAAGGUGCAGGUCGAGACCUGCUGUGAGAGUACCUGACGAAAAAGCAUCGGCUAACUCCGUGCCAGCAGCCGCGGUAAUACGGAGGAUGCGAGCGUUAUCCGGAUUUAUUGGGUUUAAAGGGUGCGCAGGCGGAGGCACAAGUCAGCGGUAAAAUCGCGGGGCUCAACCCCGCUCCGCCGUUGAAACUGUGGCCCUUGAGUGCGCGAAGGGUAGGCGGAAUGCGUGGUGUAGCGGUGAAAUGCAUAGAUAUCACGCAGAACUCCGAUCGCGAAGGCAGCCUACCGGCGCGCAACUGACGCUCAUGCACGAAAGCGUGGGUAUCGAACAGGAUUAGAUACCCUAGUAGUC